ensembl:lncRNA
GGGAAAACAGAGAGGAAGAAGAAGAGAAUGAGGAGGGGAAAAGAGAGAGGAAGAAGAGAAUGAGGAGGGGAAAAGAGAGAAGAAGAAGAGAGUGCGGAGGGGGAAAGAGAGAGGAAGAAGAAGAGAAUGAGGAGGGGAAAAGAGAGAGGAAGAAGAAGAGAAUGAGGAGGGGAAAAGAGAGAGGAAGAAGAAGAGAAUGAGGAGGGGAAAAGAGAGAGGAAGAAGACGAGAAUGAGGAGGGGAAAAGAGAGAGGAAGAAGAAGAGAAUGAGGAGGGGAAAAGAGAGAGGAAGAAGAAGAGAAUGAGGAGGGGAAAAGAGAG